GAUGAACGCUGGCGGCGCGCCUAAUACAUGCAAGUCGAGCGAACAGAUAAGGAGCUUGCUCCUUUGACGUUAGCGGCGGACGGGUGAGUAACACGUGGAUAACCUACCUAUAAGGCUGGGAUAACUUCGGGAAACCGGAGCUAAUACCGGAUAACAUAUUGAACCGCAUGGUUCAAUAGUGAAAGGCGGCUUUGCUGUCACUUAUAGAUGGAUCCGCGCCGUAUUAGCUAGUUGGUAAGGUAACGGCUUACCAAGGCAACGAUACGUAGCCGACCUGAGAGGGUGAUCGGCCACACUGGAACUGAGACACGGUCCAGACUCCUACGGGAGGCAGCAGUAGGGAAUCUUCCGCAAUGGGCGAAAGCCUGACGGAGCAACGCCGCGUGAGUGAUGAAGGUCUUCGGAUCGUAAAACUCUGUUAUCAGGGAAGAACAAAUGUGUAAGUAACUGUGCACAUCUUGACGGUACCUGAUCAGAAAGCCACGGCUAACUACGUG
rnacentral:rRNA from 1 species